GACGAACGCUGGCGGCGUGCUUAACACAUGCAAGUCGAGCGGUAAGGCCCUUCGGGUACGACGAGCGGCGAACGGGUGAGUAACACGUGGGUGACCUGCCUCUAGCUCUGGGAUAAGCCUGGGAAACUGGGUCUAAUACCGGAUAUGACUCCACGGCGCAUGUUGUGGGGUGGAAAGCCUUGUGUGGCUAGAGAUGGGCCCGCGGCCUAUCAGCUUGUUGGUGGGGUGAUGGCCUACCAAGGCGACGACGGGUAGCCGGCCUGAGAGGCGACCGGCCACACUGGGACUGAGACACGGCCCAGACUCCUACGGGAGGCAGCAGUGGGGAAUCUUGCGCAAUGGGCGAAAGCCUGACGCAGCGACGCCGCGUGAGGGAUGACGGCCUC
rnacentral:rRNA from 1 species